rnacentral:misc_RNA from 1 species
CCACAAUCCUGUGCGAAAACGACGCGUGGACGGCCAUAUUAGAUCAAGGAUAGGGCGAUAGGUGCUGAACUUAAAACGUUGAUAGUUAAUCAUGGCAUAUAGGGGCGGUAUUCCUAAUGAUAGCAGAAUCUAUGUUGGCAAUCUGCCUCCAGAUAUCAGAACACGUGAUAUCGAAGAUUUGUUUUAUAAAUAUGGUAAAAUCGUUUUCAUCGACUUGAAAAACAGACGAGGUCCCCCUUUUGCGUUCGUCGAAUUCGACGACCCCAGAGAUGCAGAAGAUGCUGUUCAGCAAAGAGAUGGGUAUAACUAUGAUGGCUACACAUUGAGGGUGGAAUUUCCCAGAGGCACAGGACCCGGGCCUAGCAGAGGUGGAAUUGGCCCAGGGGGUGGUGGCGGCGGCGGAGGUCGCGGUGAUGGUGGUGGUGGCGGAGGUAGAAGGCGUGGUGGACCUCCAUCAAGAAGAUCAGAAUACAGAGUUCUAGUGUCGGGUUUGCCUCCCACUGGUAGCUGGCAGGACUUGAAGGACCACAUGAGAGAGGCUGGGGAUGUGUGCUAUGCUGAUGUCUUCAAGGAUGGUACAGGAGUAGUUGAGUUUCUCCGCAAGGAAGACAUGAAAUAUGCUGUAAGAAAACUAGACGACUCAAAGUUCCGCUCCCAUGAGGGUGAAGCAAGUUACAUCCGUGUGAAACAAGAUUCUCGAGGAAAGUCUCGUAGUCGAAGCCCAAGCUUUUCACCACGAAGACAAUCCCGAGGCAGCCCCCGCUACUCCCCAAUGCGAUCCCGAUCAAGUUCGUAUUCCCGGGGACGGUCGAGGUCACGCUCCCCAUACUGAGCUAUGGCUUCUCAUGUAACCCAUUCGCAAUGAUAAAACUGACGUAGCCACACAAUGAUGUAUCAUUUCAUCCGAUUUAUGUAUGUAUGUAAUAUAGCGUCAUCAGCAUUUUGCCCUCCAAAGUAGCCCAAAAAAAUCAGACCCUGAUGUAAUGCCAACACAUUUUAAUUGUCCAGUUCUUGAUAUUUUUAUCUCUCCUUCUCCAGAUGCUGAAUAGGAACUAGGAGGCUAACAAACAAAAAUGCUGUAGUCGUGAGAACGAUGCCCUAGGGGAGACAACUCGAGCCUCUCCUAGCGACAGCAACUAGAGUUAUGAACUUUGGAUAGGACUCAUGGAGGGAAUAGGCAUGUUGGAAACAUAAUGCAUUGACUGCGUUGGAGAGAGUAGGAUCCGCGGAUCAAAGGGAAGGAUUAGCAUUUCAUUAGGAGAGGAAACAGGAUACAUAGAAAUGGCUCUUUAGGAUCCUCCCCACGGCUCAUUAGGAUAUCAGGAUUUCAAAAUCUGGAUAUCUGUAGGAAUUCGCUUUGGAACAUAGGAAUUUCCCCCAGUUAGGGGAAAUAAUCCGGAUUUCAAAUAUCGCAGUCAAGGAAAUAGAACUAAAAAUUUGGAUCCAUCUUUCAGGACAUUUGAAUCAUGGUGUAGACAGGAUUUUAAACCACUGGAAUCUUGCCUGAAAAUUUUGCAUUGAAAAAAUCUUUUAAAUUACGUGAAAUCAGGAUUUCCAGUAUCUAGGUCAUAUUUGGGAAUCUUGAAUUCAAGUAAGUAUUCUGGAAUCAAAGAAUAGGAGGAUGUUCCGUGGAUAACUCAAGGGACCCAUAAGGAUUUCACUGUGGAUUUCAGGAGGAAAACAGAAACCCACAGUUAAAAUUUGCGGCCCAUUUCCAUCCUAGGAUUCUAAACGAUUCCUUUAACAGAUAUCCCAUUUGGAUCAUAGUUUUAAGAGGAUCUGGAUAAAAUGAAGGCUCUGAAAUCUCGCUGGAUUUCAUUACUAUCCUUUCAUAGGAUAUAUUUGCCUUGGACUGGAUGGAUUAUGGAUAAAAAUUAAGGAAGGAUAGGAACGAACAACAUGAGGAUUAUUAAUGAGAGGGAAGGAGACUGGGAGCAUAGGAACAUUAAAGGAAAGGACAGGAGAGAGUUUGGAGGCCGAAAUGUAAGGAUAGAAUCAGGAUUCGCGCAGAGGAUAGUGAACUAAAAUUCUUGGAACAUCCGCCAGGAGGAAUACGGUAAGAUUAGUUCUAAUUAUGCAGCUUUGUUCAUAUCAGAUAUGUGCUCUUUCACUGAUUUUGUCACUGGAAAAGCAUGUGUGUGAAUUUAGCAUUGAUGCAUACUUGAACGAAACAGGAUUGAAUGAAGAUAUCAAUCAAGGAAGAUUUCGGAGCGUCGCAUUAAAAUCGUUUGGAUGGAAUCUGGAAGCUAAAGGAUGUAACAACUCCAUAAUUCAAUUAGGAUUAAGUUAACGGUAAGUUAGAUAGGAACUGCCAGCGCGAGAGGAAAUUUGAUAAUCGCGGGAUAAUUGAAUGGGUAAGUUUUCCUCUUUACUAUGUAUGAGUCUAAUAUCCAAAAGCCAUUUCUUAACUCAUUUCAGUUGAUCAUCUUGUUUCCUUUCCCACUUCCCCAAAACUCGGCACAUUGCAUUCACUCAUCUUGAAUAUUGCUUUUCAGGACCAUAAUGCUCUUCUGUUUCUUAUCACAACAGUAUUUUUAAAGAUAAUUACACCCUGAUGUUUUAUGUUUGUCUUGUUUGUAUUAAUAAAGGAUGCAGAUAUCUUAAAA